rnacentral:rRNA from 1 species
ACCUCAAGUGGUCAGGAGGAUUAUUGGGCCUAAAGCAUCCGUAGCCGGCUUUGUUAGUUUUCGGUUAAAUCUAUGUGCUCAACGCAUAGGCUGCCGAAAAUACUGCAGAGCUAGGGAGUGGGAGAGGUAGACGGUACUCAGUAGGAAGGGGUAAAAUCCUUUGAUCUAUUGAUGACCACCUGCGGCGAAGGCGGUCUACCAGAACACGUUCGACGGUGAGGGAUGAAAGCUGGGGGAGCAAACCGGAUUAGAUACCCGGGUAGUCCCAGCUGUAAACGAUGCAGACUCGGUGAUGCAUUGGCAUAUAGCCAGUGCAGUGUCGCAGGGAAGCCGUUAAGUCUGCCGCCUGGGAAGUACGUACGCAAGUAUGAAACUUAAAGGAAUUGGCGGGGGAGCACCACAAGGGGUGAAGCCUGCGGUUCAAUUGGAGUCAACGCCAGAAAUCUUACCCGGAGAGACAGCAGAAUGAAGGUCAAGCUGAAGACUUUACCAGACAAGCUGAGAGGUGGUGCAUGGCCGUCGCCAGCUCGUGCUGUGAGAUGUCCUGUUAAGUCAGGUAACGAGCGAGAUCCCUGCCACUAGUUGCUAUCAUUAUUCUCAGGAAUAGUGGGGCGAAUUAGUGGGACUGCCGUUGUUAAAACGGAGGAAGGAAGGGGCUACGGCAGGUCAGUAUGCCCCGAAACUCUGGGGCCACACGCGGGCUGCAAUGGUAGUGACAAUGAGUUCCAAACUCGAAAGAGAGUGGCAAUCUCUAAACACUACCACAGUUAUGACUGAGGGCUGCAACUCGCCCUCACGAAUAUGGAAUCCCUAGUAACCGCGUGUCAUUACCGCGCGGUGAAUACGUCCCUGCUCCUUGCACACACCGCCCGUCGUUUCAUCGAAGUUUGCUUUUAGCGAGGUGAUGUUUAAUGGCAUUAUCGAAC